UACGUAGGGGGCAAGCGUUGUCCGGAUUUAUUGGGCGUAAAGAGCUCGUAGGCGGCUUGUCGCGUCGACUGUGAAAACCCGCGGCUCAACCGCGGGCCUGCAGCCGAUACGGGCAGGCUAGAGUUCGGUAGGGGAGACUGGAAUUCCUGGUGUAGAGGUGAAAUUCGUAGAUAUCGGGAGGAACACCGGUGGCGAAGGCGGCGACCUGGGUGAGAUACUGACGCUGAGGUGCGAAAGCGUGGGGAGCAAACAGG
rnacentral:rRNA from 1 species